ensembl:lncRNA
CAUGACACACUUUACACACACACACACAUACACACACACACACACACACACACACACACACACACACACACACACACACACACUCUCUCUCUCUCACUCACACACACACACUCUCUCUCUCUCGCUCUCUCUCUCACACACACACACAGGAGUGGAAAUAUACAGUGGAUAGUAGAGAGCAAGGGCCGUAGCCUUCAUCUGAGCUUACUCUGGUGGGCCAUGUCACAAAUACCACAAAAACCACAGUCACACAUACCACAGACACAGACAUACCACAGUCACAGUCAUACCACAUAUACCACAGUCACAGUCAUACCACACAUACCACAGUCACAGUCAUACCACAGACACAGUCAUACCACAGACACAGACAUACCACAGUCACAGUCAUACCACACAUACCACAGUCACAGUCAUACCACAGUCACAGUCAUACCACAGUCACAGUCAUACCACAUAUACCACAGUCACAGACAUACCACAGUCACAGUCAUACCACACAUACCACAGUCACAGUCAUACCACAGACACAGUCAUACCACAGUCACAGUCACAGUCAUACCACAGUCACAGUCAUACCACAGUCACAGUCAUACCACACAUACCACAGUCACAGUCAUACCACAGACAUAGUCAUACCACAGUCACAGUCAUACCACAGUCACAGUCAUACCACAGUCACAGUCAUACCACAGACACAGUCAUACCACAGACACAGUCAUACCACAGUCACAGUCAUACCACACAUACCACAGUCACAGUCAUACCACAGUCACAGUCAUACCACAGUCACAGUCAUACCACAUAUACCACAGUCACAGACAUACCACAGUCACAGUCAUACCACACAUACCACAGUCACAGUCGUACCACAGACACAGUCAUACCACAGUCACAGUCACAGUCAUACCACAGUCACAGUCAUACCACAGUCACAGUCAUACCACACAUACCACAGUCACAGUCAUACCACAGACACAGUCAUACCACAGACACAGUCAUACCACAGUCACAGUCAUACCACAGUCACAGUCAUACCACAGUCACAGUCAUACCACAGACACAAUCAUACCACAGACACAGUCAUACCACAGUCACAGUCAUACCACAUAUACCACAGUCACAGUCAUACCACAGACACAGUCAUACCACAGACACAGUCAUACCACAGUCACAGUCAUACCACAUAUACCACAGUCACAGUCAUACCACAGUCACAGUCAUACCACAGACACAGUCAUACCACAGUCACAGUCAUACCACAGUCACAGUCAUACCACAGUCACAGUCAUACCACACAUACCACAGUCACAGUCAUACCACAGUCACAGUCAUACCACAGUCACAGUCAUACCACAGACACAGUCAUACCACAGACACAGACAUACCACAGACACAGUCAUACCACAGACACAGACAUACCACAGUCACAGUCAUACCACACAUACCACAGUCACAGGUGAAAGCCAGCGGCAAAGAAGUUCCUUCCCCUUGUCAGAAAUGAUUAGAGAGGGAGAGACUCGGCCAUCAUAGAGAAACAGAAAGCAGAGGCAGAAAGUUGCAUUCAGCUGUAGAAAACAUGGAGUAAAAAAAAACAUUCAAAUUCAGAGACAACAGCUGACAGUUAGAUUCAGUGAGCUACACACAUACACACACAGCGAUGGAGAGAGAGAGAAAGAGAAAAACAUUACUGUAUUAAAUUAAAGUAAUUGAUGUAUAUUAAUUCUGACAGAUCCUCUCUGCCAGGGAGUUGGAGAGUGAUGCAGUGUGUAAAGAAUGAGAAGCGAUGACAUCAGAGCA